rnacentral:tRNA from 1 species
GGGCCAUUAGCUCAUCAGGUAGAGCGGCGGUCUUUUAAACCGCGGGCGGAAGGUUCGAGUCCUUCAUGGCCCACCA